CCUGGUGGCUUAGAUGGUAAAGAAUCUGCCUGCAAUGCAGGAGUCCCAGGUUCAAUCCCUGGGUCAGGA
rnacentral:tRNA from 1 species